GUUCAUUUCCAUCGUGGCGAUUGCUGGAAGAACACAACGAGACGUCGUCGAACACGGACGAGCGGGCCUGACCCUUUGCUGCCUGUGGAGAACAUGCGUCACCUGGUGCGGAUGAAAUCACACGGAAGCCACAAGAUUCAUAUCAUAUCAAGCAAAUUUUUGAGUAUCGAAUGGCCAAGUAUCGAGUGAAAAUUGAACGCUAACUCACUUCACCGGGAAUCGCUCUGAGAAUAAUUUAAAAAGUCCUUUCAACUACUGCUGCUCUGUACGCUGACCCCUUUACCAGGAAUCGCUCUGAAAAUAAUUUAAAAAGUCCUUUCAACUACUGCUGCUCUGUACACUGACUCCUUCACCAGGAAUCGCUCUGAAAAUAAUUUAAAAAGU